rnacentral:rRNA from 1 species
UUCGCAAUGCCCGAGAGGGUGACGAAGCGACGCCGCGUGCGGGAAGAAGGCCUUCGGGUUGUAAACCGCUGUCGGGAGUUAGGAAGUGCAAGGAUGUUAAUAGCAUUCUUGCUUGACUAAGGCUCCGGAGGAAGCCACGGCUAACUCUGGGCCAGCAGCCGCGGUAAUACAGAGGCGGCAAGCGUUGUUCGGAAUUAUUGGGCGUAAAGAGCACGUAGGCGGCUGUGUAAGUCGGUUGUGAAAGCCUUCCGCUUAACGGAAGAACGGCAUCCGAUACUGCAUAGCUUGAGUGCGGGAGGGGAGAGUGGAACUUCUGGUGGAGCGGUGAAAUGCGUAGAUAUCAGAAGGAACACCGGCGGCGAAGGCGACUCUCUGGUCCGUAACUGACGCUGAGUGUGCGAAAGCUAGGGGAGCAAACGGGAUUAGAUACCCCGGUAGUCCUAGCCGUAAACGAUGGGCACUAAGUAGAGGGGUUUU